GUUCUUGUAGCUCAGUUGGAUAGAGCGUAUGCCUCCGACGCAUAAGGUCGAGAGUUCGAUUCUCUCCAAGAACACCA
rnacentral:tRNA from 1 species